ensembl:misc_RNA Metazoa_SRP Metazoan signal recognition particle RNA
GCCGGGCAUGGUGGUGCAUGCCCGUAAUCCCAGCUACUUGGGAGGCUGAGGUAGGAGAAUUGCUUGAACCUGGGAAGCGGAGGUUGCAGUGAGCAGAGAUGGCACCACUGCACUCCAGCCUGGGCAACAGAGCAAGACUCUGCCUCAA